AAUCAUAAUUUUUCUUACGUAUCUAUAUCUUUUUAUUAAGUUUUUAAUUAUAAAUCAAUUUCAAUUUCAUUUAUGUGGCUAAAACUAGUACAUAUUAUGGCCAGAACUGAUACUUUGGUGGCCACAAAUGAUGAAAUCGGAACUUAUGAUAUAAUUUUUUAUUUUUAAAAUAUUUACUUAACUUUAUUUGGUUGUUGACCUUAAUUAAUUAUCUAAUAACUUUUAAGAAUAUAUUAAAGCAAUUACAAGCAUUUGAUUAACGAAAAAAGAUUCAAUAAAAUGUAUUUAUUUUGUUGAAAAUUCUUAAAGUGGCCACAAAUGGAGCACCGACCCUAUCGCAACACGAAACGAGAGAAUCAAUCAGCGUCGCGGAAAAGAGACCUCAAGGCAUCGAUGCGAACGAAAUUCACUCAGUCAACACGUCUUUUUUAGAGAGGGAUUUUUUCUGAAAACUGUUAAAUAUGGUGAACUGUCAAAAGUUUGACAGCAGUGAAGUAAACGACAGUGAGGCAAGUCACACAGCACGAACUUGACAACCAGCAACUAAUCAACAACGCAGAAAAACGGUGAUAAAAAUAUAUAACACGUUUUUUUUAAGUGGAUAAAAGUAAACUGUAAAUAUAAUAUAAAAGUGGAUUGUAAAUAUGAUUGAUUACUUAAUAUUAUCUAUUUAAAACAGCAAACUCAUUGAUCGAAAUAGAAACAAAAUGUUGAAAUUAACACCUACAGUGCUAGUGCUAUAAUCAAACCAUAUCGUCAGCAGAUGGAACGAUCGAGAACUACGAUUUAAGUAAAACAAACGUGAUCAUUUGUGUCAAGAACUCAAGUGAUAAAUGUUGUGGGUAGGAACAUAGAUAAGAGUAAGGAGAUUAGGAAAGGGAGGGGGAAAAGAAAGACGAUAAUAUAUGUCUAAGAUUUGUAAAUAAGAUUCUGGUAAAAAUUUUGUGUCAUUUUGUUUAUUUAAGUUCACAUUUUGUCGUUUGAUAUGUAAUAUCUGAGAUAUGAGUCUUUUUUGAUAAGACGGCUCUUUAUGUAAUAUUUUGACACGGUUCUAUUUAAACUCAUGAGACAAUUGUAAUCUAUGGUUAGAGAUAACCGAUAGUAAACCAAGUUUUUGUUAAUGUCAUUUUUAUGUUCUUUUAUUCUGGUAAUUAGUUUUUUUUUUUGGCCCACAUAAAAUAUCUCACAAUCUUGGUAAGAUACUUUAUAAAUCACAUCAUAGCAAGUCAUAACAUCGAAACCAUCCAUUUUUAAUCAGUUGCUUUAAAUUGUUGUUAGUGGAAAACGCUAUUCUGCAAUUCAAACUUUUGGCUAUGGAUGUAAAACGUUGAGCAAUUGUUUUGACGAAUGGGACAGUAAAAAAAAGAGACAUUGCUUUUGGAUUCCUGCCACUCUUACAGUCAUUAUCUCUGUUUUGAAGGACAACUUCAGAGAUAAUGGGAGACAGAGGAGAGCCUCUUUACCCUUGCCUAUGUUCCUAUCACAAUAUUCAUCUCUUGAAUUCUUGACAAUAAUCAUGUUCGUUUUACUUAAAUUAUUGUUCUCGAUCGUUCUACCUAAUGAAGAUACGGUUUAACACUUUACGUCACGGUGGGUCACUGAGUUGUCUUUCUAAUUUUUAAUCAUUUUAACAAUUUUUUAAUCUUUUAAAGUCGGUUUUUUGCUUUUUGAUAGUUCGGGUAUCCUGCUUAAAAUAAUAGAAAUUUUUAGUUAUCAUUUCCAAGGGUGAUUUUGAAUCACAUAUUUCGUAUCGCACUUGCGAAAUUUUACACAGACCACGUAUCUUAUAUUAUUAUAUCUAUUACGAAUAAUGUUUCUUAACUAAUCUUUCGCAUCUCAUAUAUUUUAUAACAUUUAAUAAUAAUAAUAGAAGUUGUUUUUCUAUAUGAAUUUAAUAAGAAUAUAUUAUGAUAAAACAAAAGUUUUUAUCAUAAAUGACAUUUAUUAUCAAUAUAAAUAAAAGAAUGUAUGUAUAUGUGACUUUAUGGUAUUUUAUCUACAUAAUUAUGUAACUCUAUGAUAUUCUAUCUAAGUGUGUAUAUAAUUUCAUCUAAACUUAUGUACAUGUGUAUACAGGUCAGUGUUAACCUAUCUGCGUGCAUGCACGUCUAUCAUAAUCUACUUACGUGGAUGUGUAAUUAAACGAUAUUUUAUCUACGUACAUAUGUAAUUGUAUCUACGAAUGUAUGUGACUCUAUGGUAUUUUAUCUACGUGUAUAGGCGAUUCUAUAAUAUUCUAUUUAAGUGUGUAUAUUAUUCUAUGUAAACUUAUCUACGUGUGCAUGCAGUUCAUUGGUAUUCUAUGCGUGUGUAUGUACUUCUACCAUAUUCUAUCUACGUGAGUAUAUAACUCAAUGAUAUUCUAUUUGCGUGCGUAUGUAAUUGUAUCUACGAGUAUAUGCGACUUUAAGGUAUUCUAUCUAAAUACGUAUAUAAUUCUAUGUAAACCUAUCUACAUGUGUAUGCAGCUCAAUGAUAUCUUAUCUAGGUGUGUAUGCACUUCUAUCAUAUUCUAUCUACGUGGACAUGUAAUUCAAUAGUAUUCUAUAUAUGUGCGUAUGUACUUAUGAGUGUAUGGGACCCACCCAGAUAGCACAAGGACAUCCCUUGUAUGUCCAAUGGAUAUCCGCUUCUGGACAUUUGGACAUCCAUUAAGAGUCCAAAUAAGGUUCGUCGGACAUUCGAUGGACGUCCAUAGGAUAUACGUUUGGCACAACUUUGUACGUUCAUAGAAAGUCCUUUAAUGGACAUCCAUGGGAUAUAAGUUUGUCACAAUUUCGGACAUUCAUAGAAAGUCCGAAAUAAACCAAAUUUUGGACCUAUUAUGGUUUGAUUAUUUCUUUUG